rnacentral:lncRNA from 1 species
AGAGAGAGAAAUAAGAACAAACCCUAGAGUGAGAAAAUUCAAAGAAAAAGUGUGAUUUUUCAAGGAAUCAAGUGUUUAAAGGUAUGAUUUUUCAAGCUUAGCUUAAGAUUUAUCAUUUCCAUGCAUUUCUCCUUAUUUUCCAUGGUUAAAUUAUGUGUUUUGAUGAUGGAUUCAAAUCUGAUCAUAUGGGUUUAGAGAGAGAAAGUUGUUAGAUUAAUUUGAUUUUGAACUAUGUUAGUGUUUAGUGUUAGUUUAGCAUGUUUAUGAGUAAAACAACAAGAAAAAUAUUCAUUUUCUCCAUGAAUUUCUCUAGGCCGAAUCUAGCCAAUGGUGUGUGAGGAUGAGGUUGACUUUAUUUUAAGAGAAUUAGAUGGAAAAAUGAUGAAUUAUGAGGUUGGAAAUUUAAAGGGAAUUUUUGGUGUAAAAAAUUGAAAUUUUUACCCACUAGGGGUAAAAGCGUAAUUUGUGAUCCGAACUGAUAAAUUUGACCACAUUCACUGUCAUUGAGGUAUUGUGGAUAUAAUUGGAUAAUUGAAAUUGAAAUGGAUGGAAUUGGAGUUAAAUUGGAGAUUUUAAAAAUUUGCACCGUGUAUAGGCGAGUUAGGUUGGACACUGUGAUUAAGCGAUUGUCCAAACAUUUCACACCCUAUCUAGUGCAUAUGCAUGGAUAAGAGCCUGAAAUAAUAUGUAUUGAUUUGACUCAAAUUAUUGAAUUUUUUGUGUCAUGUAUUGUGGAUAGGUGGUGAGCUAUCUGAUACAGGUAAAAGACUACACCCGAGGACCAAGAAUAGGAGUGUAUCUACUCCUAUUACAGUGAGUAAACUUACUAUCGUCUUAAUUAUCUAGAGUAGAUUUAUUUAAUUGUGUGAUUUUAUGGAAAAAUAGUUUAAUUGGAAAAUUAUUGUGUUUUAUGGGAAAAUGGGAUUUUAUAAAAUAAUUUUAUAAAAUUUUUAAAAAUUUAAUAAUGAUUUCAAAAAUAGAGUAAUUGGAGACCUAUACUAUGAUUGUGUUGUUUAUCCAUGAUUUUAAAUUAAUUGGCUUAUGAUAAAUGUGGGUAUGACUGGUUAUUUUUAUGAUUUAAAGAAUAUGUGAACUGCUUUGAUUUGCCUUGAAUGUGUUAAGUGAGCCAUGUCAUACUAUUGUGAUUUUAUUGGUUGGUGGAUUAUAAAGUGGGCACUGCAGUGACGGGGGUUCCGUGGGUUAGCCUAAUUAGAGGGGCACGGUUCCUAAUUAUUGAGCUUACCUUGAUUGGAGAGCGC